GAUUCCUGUGGUAGUAAAUAAACACUAAUGAGAAACAUGUUUGCAUAUACUGUAAACACAGAGAAAUUAGACCCAGAGGGCAGAAAGAAAAGAAAAGAAAAGAAAUAUUAGCUCAAGGAGUCAAGUUUUGAUUUGGAUCCAAAGCCCCAAAGCCUAAUUCUUAUUUAGUUGCCUAACUUUAGAAAUGUCACUGGGGUGAAGAAGCUGAAAAAGAAAUAAGUAGUGUCAAUAAGUUCCUGUCGUUUGUGACUUACAUUUCUUACUGGCAGAAGCUUGCCAAAUGAAUGAAAUAAUUCUAUGCUGGCCAAUCCUUUAAUAAAAUAAAACAACGCCUAAAGACAGAGAAGCCUAUGCCUUCUGGGAUAGUCCAUAUAUUCCAAAUCACAAUGGAUUCAUUACAUGAAAAGUGUUUAUUGUGGCUGCCUGGGGAGAGGAUAAAAAUGUAAACAUUUGAAACCAACCAUUGAAACUGGUGAAAAUGGCUAUUGCUAAGAAUAAUGAUUUGAGAAUCAGUGGUCCUCCUUUUUAUUUUUUUAUCCUUUCUUUGCAGUGCUGGGCAUUGAAACCAAGGCCUAUGUUCUCUGGGCAAGUGCUCUACCACUGAACUACAUCCCCAGCCCUGGUAAAGCUUUUAAAGUGUCAAGAAGACCUGCAAAUGAAUUAGAAUCCAAAUGGAACAUUCUUGAUUUUUUAAUACUUGUCAUAAUUUUUCUUUCAAUUUUGUUUAUCUUGGUAAGAUCUUUUACCUCCUUAUUUUGAUUAUAACAACAUUUUUUCAUCAAUGGAUUCAUCAAAUUAACUUUCUAAAGUUACAUCCAAUAUUUACAGAGGGUCCUAGUAUAAGGAUUUUAGAAGCCCAAUACUAAAGGAAUAGAGACUUAUGUUUUAAAUUAAGCAUAUACACUUAAAAUCAUAGCUAUGUUCUGACAUGACCAAUAUUUGUUAGCAUAACUUUCUAAUUCCUAUGCUUUUUGUUUGCAUGGACAAUAUCCAAUUUAAAUAAUGAUGUGAGGAUUCUUAGUAUAUUUGAGGAAUUUCAACUAGUUGAGUGUAAUGACAAUGGAGAAAAUACUGGAAAACAGAAGAUGAAGCUUGCAAUGAAGAUCAUGCAUCGAGAAUUCACCUUCUGAGAGGUGGGAAGAUAAGGAAGGUUUUUAAGCAGGAAAAUAAUAUGCUCAAGUCUGUUUUCUAGAAAGGUCAUUUUAUGGGAGAUAUUUUGGAGGACCUUCUAGAGAAAAGAAGACUCAUUUAGAAUCCAUUGUUAUAAUGAAGGGCAAGAAAGGAUAAGGCAGAGAUGAUGAAAACAGGAGGUGAUUACAGUGCCAAACGUAACGGAAAUAACAGAGGAUGCUGUGUUGGGAUGUGCACAAUGUGACUUCACAUCUUGGCUAUCAUCCUAAAAAACAUGGUCAGUAGGACUACACCAUGCCUAAAAGUGGACAGAAGCUAUACUACCAAGGAAGACACCCAGCUUCUUGGAACCUCGUUGUCUGUGACAGAGCUGAGCUCCUGAGGUUCCCGCUCAGGCUGAUAAUGGCCUACCAGGGUUCAGCUACCAGAACAGCAGCACGGACAACAUGACGUCACCAAUCUGGGAAGAGACCUGUCACCACUGAGAUCUCUCUAAGUUGCCUAGAAUGGCCUCAAAUUCAGGAUCCUCCCGCCUCCACUUCCUGAGUCUGUGGGAUUACAGCCUCUACUUGAAAGAAAAGUCAGUAAACCGGAAGAUUUCAAAGCAAUGCCAAAGUUCCCCACCUUGCUAUAGGAUAUUCCAUCAAAAACAGAUGUUAUUUCAUCAGGGGUUGUCACGGUGACGACUAUUGGGUGUGAAGACAUUAAAGAAUCUUCCUCUUGUACAGCAAAACAGAUUGGUCAAGAGGCCUAAGAAUAUAGCCCAACUUCAUUGGUUCUAAGCUGUCUUUAAGCAAGUUCCCUCCCUCACUAGACAGGGGUAAUAAUGGCAUCUCCUUUGUGGACUUGUGCACAGGAUUGAAGAUAUAAUUCAUGGUCUAAAGUGUCGGAUUUUGCGAGGAGUUCCUAUUCUUUAUGUUUGCUGAGGCUGAUAAUAGACCUAAUACCUGGCAAAAGGAGGAAGCCUUGAGCAGCUAAACCCCCAAAUAGAAAAUGCUCAGUUGAUUAGUGGAAAAUACAGAUUCCCUGGACAAUGAACCAUAAUCAGCAUGUAAUUUUUUCAUUACAUAGAAUUUAAAUGAGGGACAAAAGUGGAAAUAAACUGAAGUUUUCAUCUAAUAUGUAAGAAAAGCCCUUUCUCGUUAUAUUGUAUACAGGUGCAGAUAUGACGACGAAUCUCACUGUUAUGUAUGAUUAUGGUGCACCAAUAAAAAGAUCCCGAAAACCCAACAAAACCAAGAAAAGCCCUUUAUUUCUGGUUAAAAUAAAGAUUUCUGAAGCAUAAAGCUUUUCAAAAAGGGACAUAUCUUAAGCGGAGGUCAAGAUACAGUAGUAGUUUACUUUUUAGGUUUUAUUGUUUUGUCAUAAGAAUAUCCCUGAAAGGAUGGAGCAGUAUCUCCACCAAGUGCUGAUAUUUUUCAAAAUAUUAUGAAGUGUAAUUUGCACGUUAUCACUGAAUAAAAUUUUAUGGUAAUAUCAUG